AUUUACUCAUACCAAAAUGGGCUGUACCUAAUAUAAAAAUAUUAAAUAAAUAGUUGAUAACAAUGUUUCUAUUCUAUUAUAAGGUAUCAUUGAAAUUUAAACAAGUGAAAUAAUGCCAUUACAAUGCUAAAUAAAAAAACAAAACUUACAAGAAAGAAAAAGAAAAGUGUAAACAGUAAUUCCAUUCCUAAAAAACGAUCCAAGCAUGAGAGAUAUGAAGAUAUAAUUGGCGCUUCUCCAUUAAAACUAAAUAAUAGACCAUAUUUUUCAUGCAAAAAAUCAAAUGCGAACAAAUAUGACAAUGGACGUCUCCAAAGAAUAUUUUCCUCUUUUAACAAACUUGCUAACAACUCGACGCGUAUAGGUGAUAAACAGAAAAU